rnacentral:tRNA from 1 species
UAGCUCAGUCGGUUAGAGCGUGGUGCUGAUAACACCAAGGUCGUGGGUUCAAUCCCUUC